rnacentral:misc_RNA from 1 species
GAAGAUUAUGAACCAUGCAACUGGUUUAAAAAACAGUACCAAGCACUUUGUCCAGGCUUUUGGACGGAGAGAUGGGAUGAACAACGUGAAGCAGGAGCGUUCCCGGCCAAGAUUUAAUUGUGAUCAAUUAUGUGACAUUUUAGUUAAUAAGUUACCAUCUCAGGAUUUUUUAAUUAACUAGUUUGUUCCGAGAUGUAAAGAUGUGAUUCAAGAAUUUCAAACUUUACCAAUAAAGAAUUCUGAAUACUG